rnacentral:rRNA from 1 species
AUGGAUGGAAUCUUGCAAAUUGAGUUGGCGCUGGUACCGGUCAAGUCCAGACUUGCAUAUGCACGCGCGGCACUGUGCAAAGAUACUGUGAUGGACGUGUACGUGAUCGGCGAGUGGGCAUCGUCGCAUCGGCAUCAGCAUCUGGCGUCGCCGCCACUGGGCCACGGCGGCGCACCGGCGGCGAAGGUCGGACAAGUCCAGUGUGUUGGUCGUCGGGGCGGAUCGGCGUUAAUGGGGACGGGCGGACGGACGGACGCGAGCUGGCGGGCUAGAGCCGGUCGGUCGCCGUGGUGCUGGUCGCGUCAGGGUGACGCGGCGCGGGGCCCGGCGGAGGUUGGCGAGCUAGGCGAGGGGGCGUGUCAUUCCUGGGGAGAGAGGACGAAGGGGGACAUAGUCGGUGCGGCUUUUUCUACGCGGCGGGGCCACCCGCACCAUGCGACGGCUACGGCGCUGUCACAGUCGUGGGUUUUGUCUGUCGUCCCGGGUGGACAAAUUCACCGUUUCUUCUAA